CGGCGGGUGCGGCAGUGCCGGGCCGCGGGGCUGGCGGGGCUGGCCGCGGUGCUCCUGGUGGCUGUGAGCAGAGCCCAGGUGCAGCAGGAGCCGGCGGCAGAGACCAGCGAGGGCACCGGCAUCAACAUCACCUGCUCACACCCCAACAUCCAGUCUUCUGAUCACAUCCACUGGUACCGUCAGCUCCCGGGCCGAGGCCCCGCAUUCAUUACGAGCGCCUUGAAGGGCUCCAAGGAGGUGCCGGACCCGGAGGGGCGGCUGUCGGUGUCGGCAGACCGCCGCUCCAGCGCCCUGUGGCUCGCCCAGCCCCGGCUAGGCGACGCGGCGGUUUAUUACUGCGCCGUGGGCACACGGGAAGCGAAGCCGGGGCUGCGGCCGGGCACGAACCGCUUUGGGCGGGGCGGGGGCACAGUGCCGUCCGGGCCCGCAGGGGGUGCUGCCUGCAUGGCCGCCAAACUCCAUCCUGACCACG